rnacentral:rRNA from 1 species
UACGGAGGAUGCAAGCGUUAUCCGGAUUUAUUGGGUUUAAAGGGUGCGCAGGUGGCUUUGUAAGUCAGUGGUGAAAGUCUGCCGCUUAACGGUAGGAUUGCCAUUGAUACUGCGGAGCUUGAGUUUGGAUGAGGUAGGCGGAAUGAGUAGUGUAGCGGUGAAAUGCAUAGAUAUUACUCAGAACACCGAUUGCGAAGGCAGCUUACUAAUCCACAACUGACACUGAGGCACGAAAGCGUGGGGAUCAAACAGG